rfam:Asian citrus Psyllid, Diaphorina citri - Florida Strain, whole genome shotgun sequence.
ACCUCGUUUGCUUGGUUGCUAGAGUGUCUGCCUUGUAAGCGCUAGGCCGCGGGUUCGAUUCCCGCCCGGGGUG